AACAUGCAAGUCGAACGAACUCCGUAAUGAUAUGACGUACUGUACUGAUUGAGAUUUAACACGAAGUGAGUGCGAACGGGUGAGUAACACGUGGGUAACCUGCCCAGAAGUAGGGGAUAACACCUGGAAACAGAUGCUAAUACCGUAUAACAGAGAAAACCGCAUGGUUUUCUUUUAAAAGAUGGCUCUGCUAUCACUUCUGGAUGGACCCGCGGCGUAUUAGCUAGUUGGUGAGGUAAAGGCUCACCAAGGCAGUGAUACGUAGCCGACCUGAGAGGGUAAUCGGCCACAUUGGGACUGAGACACGGCCCAGACUCCUACGGGAGGCAGCAGUAGGGAAUCUUCCACAAUGGACGCAAGUCUGAUGGAGCAACGCCGCGUGAGUGAAGAAGGGUUUCGGCUCGUAAAGCUCUGUUGUUAAAGAAGAACGUGGGUAAGAGUAACUGUUUACCCAGUGACGGUAUUUAACCAGAAAGCCACGGCUAACUACGUGCCAGCAGCCGCGGUAAUACGUAGGUGGCAAGCGUUAUCCGGAUUUAUUGGGCGUAAAGCGAGCGCAGGCGGUCUUUUAAGUCUAAUGUGAAAGCCUUCGGCUCAACCGAAGAAGUGCAUUGGAAACUGGGAGACUUGAGUGCAGAAGAGGACAGUGGAACUCCAUGUGUAGCGGUGAAAUGCGUAGAUAUAUGGAAGAACACCAGUGGCGAAGGCGGCUGUCUGGUCUGCAACUGACGCUGAGGCUCGAAAGCAUGGGUAGCGAACAGGAUUAGAUACCCUGGUAGUCCAUGCCGUAAACGAUGAUUACUAAGUGUUGGAGGGUUUCCGCCCUUCAGUGCUGCAGCUAACGCAUUAAGUAAUCCGCCUGGGGAGUACGACCGCAAGGUUGAAACUCAAAAGAAUUGACGGGGGCCCGCACAAGCGGUGGAGCAUGUGGUUUAAUUCGAAGCUACGCGAAGAACCUUACCAGGUCUUGACAUCUUCUGACAGUCUAAGAGAUUAGAGGUUCCCUUCGGGGACAGAAUGACAGGUGGUGCAUGGUGUCGUC
rnacentral:rRNA from 1 species